rnacentral:rRNA from 1 species
GCCAAAAACCUAGCCCAAUCAACAUGAAUUUAACCAAGUCAACUAACUCCUCCUAACAAAUCAUUCUAAUAUUCUAGUAAAGGAGAUUGAAAAACUCUUUGGAGCUAUAACAAUAGUACCGCAAGGGAAAAGUGAAAUAUUUAAUGAAAAAUCUCAAGCAAGAAAAAGUAAAGAUUUUCCCUUGUACCUUUUGCAUCAUGGUUUAACUAGUCAAAUCAAGCAAAACGUAUUUAAGUUUGACUUCCCGAAACUAAGUGAGCUACUUCAGGGCAGCUAAAAGAGCAAACCCGUCUCUGUAGCAAAAGAGUGGGAUGACCCUCAAGUAGCGGUGACAGACCUAACGAACUUAGUGAUAGCUGGUUGCCUAGGAAACGGAUUUAAGUCCAACCUGAAAUAUAACCUAGUUUACUUAAACAAAUAUUUAUUUUCAGCGCAAUUCAAAUAAGGUACAGCCUAUUUGAAAUAGGAUACAACCUAGACUUAUGGAUAAAAUCAGCUAAGCACACAACUAAGUGGGCCUAAAAGCAGCCAUCUUUUAAAUUGCGUCAAAGCUUAAUUGUCCCCACGCCUAAUUACCUAACUAUUAUAUUAAUCCUAUAUUCUUACUAAGCAAUUCUAUACCCCUAUAGAAAUUUUUAUGUUAAAACUAGUAACAAGAAGAAGACCCUUCUCUUAAAUGUAAGUGUAAAUCAGAAAGGACUAACCACUGAUAUUUAACACAUUUGAACCAGAAAUAGCAACAAAUCAAGAAAAACCUAUUUUUACCCAUGUUAACCUAACACAAGAACAUUUUAAGAAAGAUUUAAAGAAAAAGAAGGAACUCGGCAAAUAUUAACCUCGCCUGUUUACCAAAAACAUCGCCUCUUGAACUACUAUAAGAGGUCCAGCCUGCCCAGUGACUCUGUUCAACGGCCGCGGUAUCCUAACCGUGCGAAGGUAGCGUAAUCACUUGUUCUUUAAAUGAGGACUAGUAUGAAUGGCACCACGAAGGUUAUACUGUCUCCUUUUUCUAAUCAGUGAAACUAAUCUCCCCGUGAAGAAGCGGGGAUAAAAAUAUAAGACGAGAAGACCCUAUGGAGCUUUAAACAAUAUAGCACUUAUCAUACAAUUUUUAAUUUCCUGAAUUAUCUACUACCACAGAUAAUAUGACUAUAAGUUUUCGGUUGGGGUGACCACGGAGCACAACAUAACCUCCAUGUUGAAAGAAUUUAUUUCUAAGCUAAGAACUACACUUCUAAGAAUCAACACCUUGACAUUAAUUGACCCAAUAUAUUUGAUCAACGAACCAAGUUACCCUAGGGAUAACAGCGCAAUCCACUUCAAGAGCUCCUAUCGACAAGUGGGUUUACGACCUCGAUGUUGGAUCAGGGUCUCCCAGUGGUGCAGCCGCUACUAAGGGUUCG